UGGGUGCUGCAAACAGGACCAUAGUUGCCA
rnacentral:piRNA from 1 species